CGCUGGACGCGGGCAGCAGCAGCAGCAAAGUCAGCGGCAACCAGCAACCGCUUCUGUAGGAGAGGCAGCGCCGCGGGCAGCCGGCCGGAGAUGGCCGGCGCCGGCGCCGGCGAGAGCCUGGACCUCCCCGUGGUGGACCUAGCGUCCUCCGACCUCGCCGCCGCCGCCAAAUCCGUCCGAAAGGCUUGCGUGGAGUACGGAUUCUUCUACGUGGUCAACCAUGGAGCCGAGGGAUUGGCGGAGAAGGUGUUCGGGGAGAGCAGCAAGUUUUUCGAGCAGCCGCUGGGGGAGAAGAUGGCGCUGCUGAGGAACAGAAACUACCUGGGGUACACCCCGCUUGGCGCCGAUAAGCUCGACGCCUCGUCCAAAUUCAAAGGAGAUCUCAAUGAAAAUUACUGUAUCGGACCUAUCAGAAAAGAAGGUUAUCAGAAUGAUGCUAACCAAUGGCCUUCUGAAGAGAAUUUCCCAUGUUGGAAGGAGACAAUGAAGCUAUACCAUGAAACUGCACUUGCUACUGGUAAAAGGAUACUCUCUCUAAUUGCUCUGAGUUUGAAUCUCGACGUUGAAUUCUUUGACUGCCCAGUGGCCUUUCUUCGGUUAUUGCACUACCCAGGUGAAGCUAACGAGUCCGAUGAUGGCAAUUAUGGUGCAUCAGCUCACUCAGACUAUGGAGUACUAACACUUGUAGCAACAGAUGGCACUCCUGGGCUGCAGAUAUGCAGGGAGAAGGAUAGGUGCCCCCAGCUUUGGGAAGACGUUCAUCACAUUGAAGGGGCCCUGAUUGUUAAUAUCGGCGAUUUGCUACAAAGGUGGACUAAUUGUGUUUUCAGGUCUACACUGCAUCGCGUUGUUGCAGUUGGUAAAGAGCGAUACUCUGUGAGUAACUGAGUAUAACUAACACCUGAAAUCAGAAAUUCAUAACUGAGUUUUAGCUCCUAUUGAACUCAUGUUGUAAAGUCGGGUGAACUUCUUAUUGGUGGCUUUCUUUCUUCACACAAACCCUGAUUUAGUGGUUCAAUGCUUGGAAAGCUGCUGCAGUGAGGCAUGCCCACCGAGGUUCCCACCUAUAAGGAGCGGCGACUAUUUGGAAGACCGAUUGAGGGCUAGAUACAAAUAAUCCUACGUUGGCUGCGUACAUCCAUGUUGGAUGUAAAGGCCAGGUUUUAAUCCAUUUUCUGAAAAACACAAAUAAUCCUACGUUUUUAAAUGUGUAAAGCUUAAGAUUAGUGAACUUCAGUGAGCAGCUAUUCCGUUGAGAUGGACGGAAACAUCUUGAUCUUAUAUGUAGCCCAUCUGCUGUUGCUGAUUUCUCGCGUGUGUUAAUACUAGCUUUACUUAUGAGCAAUCAUGUCAGCAUCUGGUGAAAUUUGUAACCGCCUUCGAGUGUCAACAUAUAUUUUUGCUCUUCACUGUUUUCAGGAAGACUGGACAUAACCUCCACUGUAUUUUCUGUUGCCAAAACAUUGGUAUAGAGUUUUUUGUAUAAAGAUUCUUAUGAUGCUUUCACGAUUAAGGAAGACACAAAUAAAGUAACUUUGCUCUCA